GACGAACGCUGGCGGCGUGCUUAACACAUGCAAGUCGAACGGAAAGGCCCUGCUUUUGUGGGGUGCUCGAGUGGCGAACGGGUGAGUAACACGUGAGUAACCUGCCCUUGAUUUUGGGAUGACUUCAGGAAACUGGGGCUAAUACGGGAUAGGAGCUCCUGCUGCAUGGUGGGGGUUGGAAAGUUUCGGCGGUUGGGGAUGGACUCGCGGCUUAUCAGGUUGUUGGUGGGGUAGUGGCUUACCAAGGCUUUGACGGGUAGCCGGCCUGAGAGGGUGACCGGCCACAUUGGGACUGAGAUACGGCCCAGACUCCUACGGGAGGCAUCAGUGGGGAAUAUUGCACAAUGGGCGGAAGCCUGAUGCAGCAACGCCGCGUGCGGGAUGACGGCCUUCGGGUUGUAAACCGCUUUCGCCUGUGACGAAGCGUGAGUGACGGUAAUGGGUAAAGAAGCACCGGCUAACUACGUG
rnacentral:rRNA from 1 species